rnacentral:sRNA from 1 species
UUUUAUACUACUGGUUGUCAAGGUUACCAAGUAAGCUGCUUAUCGAAGACCUAGUUCGUAUGUUGACAGUUUAAUUAGAUUUAAGAUCUAGAUUAGAUUUUGUCCUAGACCAGAAACAAAAAUGUCUCAUCAAAGUUGUGAAGAAAUUCAACUGGGAGAAGCACGAGAGACAUGGUGUGCAGUAGAGAGAAUGAAAGAAGAAGACUGGUGUCGUAAACAAAGAGCCCAUAUUCCCAGGUACCAGGAGGAAAUGAAAAGUGAUAUCUUCGGUUUCUGUGUCACUUCUACGCAGUUUGAAGAUCGCUGUACUUUUGAACCACCUAAAGCUAGGCGAAGAGAAAUGAAACAUUACCCCAAAAUACAUAAUCAAUCACAGCUGAAGAUUUGAAUCAAUUCUUCUAAUGAGCCAGGAAAAACUUCAAAGAAGAGAGUUUUAUUGCUUUGAACCUAAUUUCAUAUUUAAACAUGUAAUUAUAUAUCUCAACAGUAUUAAAAAUAGAAAGUCA